GACGAACGCUGGCGGCGUGCCUAAUACAUGCAAGUAGAACGCUGAAGGAGGAGCUUGCUUCUCUGGAUGAGUUGCGAACGGGUGAGUAACGCGUAGGUAACCUGCCUGGUAGCGGGGGAUAACUAUUGGAAACGAUAGCUAAUACCGCAUAACAGUAGAUAUCGCAUGAUAUCUACUUGAAAGGUGCAAUUGCAUCACUACCAGAUGGACCUGCGUUGUAUUAGCUAGUUGGUGAGGUAACGGCUCACCAAGGCGACGAUACAUAGCCGACCUGAGAGGGGGAUCGGCCACACUGGGACUGAGACACGGCCCAGACUCCUACGGGAGGCAGCAGUAGGGAAUCUUCGGCAAUGGACGGAAGUCUGACCGAGCAACGCCGCGGGAGUGAAGAAGGUUUUCGGAUCGUAAAGCUCUGUUGUAAGAGAAGAACGAGUGUGAGAGUGGAAAGUUCACACUGUGACGGUAGCUUACCAGAAAGGGACGGCUAACUACGUG
rnacentral:rRNA from 1 species